UACAGAGACUGCAAGCGUUAUUCGGAUUCACUGGGCGUAAAGGGUGCGCAGGCGGCCAGGUGUGUUAGGCGUGAAAGCCCGGGGCUUAACCCCGGAAUUGCACCUAAAACUACUUGGCUAGAGCAUUGGAGAGGGUAGCGGAAUUCACGGUGUAGCAGUGAAAUGCGUAGAUAUCGUGAGGAACACCAGAGGCGAAGGCGGCUACCUGGACAAUUGCUGACGCUCAGGCACGAAAGCGUGGGGAGCAAAAGGG
rnacentral:rRNA from 2 species